rnacentral:rRNA from 1 species
AUAUCAAUAAGCGGAGGAAAAGAAACUAACAAGGAUUCCCCUAGUAACUGCGAGUGAAGCGGGAAAAGCUCAAAUUUAAAAUCUGGCGGUCUCUGGCCGUCCGAGUUGUAAUCUAGAGAAGUGAUGCCCGCGCUGGACCGUGUACAAGUCUCCUGGAAUGGAGCGUCAUAGAGGGUGAGAAUCCCGUCUCUGACACGGACUACCAGUGCUCUGUGAUACACUCUCAACGAGUCGAGUUGUUUGGGAAUGCAGCUCAAAAUGGGUGGUAAAUUCCAUCUAAAGCUAAAUACAGGCGAAAGACCGAUAGCGAACAAGUACCGUGAGGGAAAGAUGAAAAGCACUUUGGAAAGAGAGUUAAACAGUACGUGAAAUUGUUGAAAGGGAAACGCUUGAAGUCAGUCGCGUCUUCAGAAAUUCAGCCUGGCUUCUGCCUGGUGUACUUUUCUGUUGGACGGGCCAGCAUCAGUUUUGGCCGCCAGAAAAAGGUGGGAGGAAUGUGGCACCUCCGGGUGUGUUAUAGCCUCUCAUCGUAUGUGGCGGCUGGGACUGAGGACCGCAGCACGCCUCUAAUGGCCGGGGUUCGCCCACGUAACGUGCUUAGGAUGCUGGCGUAAUGGCUUUAAACGA